UGACGUUUCACAAUAACUGAGCAAUGCAGGGUGAUGCUUGAUGCUUGGCAGAGUGUUAACUGACACUGUUUGCUGGCUUUCCCAACAAUGCAAAUGCUCCAUACAGUAAAUCACAUGCUACACUGACAGCCUUGAGAAAUGGCAACGCAGAGUCGAGAGAGAGGAGAUUGUAUUUACAUAAUACCGCAGUGUCCAGGCACCUCAUCCACCUUCAUGCUGCUUUUGUCAGAAUUGUGAAGUGACUGCGUCUUAGCUUAAUACAACUUCAGGUUUCCUAAAAAAAUGUGAUCAGCUCUGUGUUUGCUGUUGCAGCCAGCGGGGGAUAUGGAAACUGGUAACAGGAUGGAUAAAGCCACUUUUGUUGAAGAUACUCUCUCCACACUUUGGGAGCUGAGCACAGAGCUUUCUCUCCUGCAACUUGAGCUGCCUGCAAAAGUAUGAACAUCUUACUAGUGUCUGUGGAAGACAGAAUUGUCAGUGUGCUGCAGCCUUGAUGCCACCAUGUUGUUUGUUGACUUUUAAAGUGUUCAGUGAUCUGACUUAUUAAAGUGCUGACAAACAAGGGUACAACAAGAAAUACUGACUGCAACAUCUCUGUUGCCUGUUCUAACUAUUUUUUCAAUUACAGACACUCUUUCACUGUUUGGUCAGUCACUUGUGUCAUUUUCUUGCUGA